UACGGGGGGGGCAAGCGUUGUUCGGAAUUACUGGGCGUAAAGGGCUCGUAGGCGGCCAACUAAGUCAGACGUGAAAUCCCUCGGCUUAACUGGGGAACUGCGUCUGAGACUGAUGAGCUUGAGUGCAGGAGAGGAAUGCGGAAUUCCAGGUGUAGCGGUGAAAUGCGUAGAUAUCUGGAGGAACACCGGUGGCGAAGGCGGCAUUCUGGACUGCAACUGACACUGAGAGACGAAAGCCAGGGGAGCAAACGGG
rnacentral:rRNA from 1 species